rnacentral:piRNA from 1 species
UGGGAACGAGCAGAAACUCGUGGAGGCGUC